UUUUGAGAUGGAAUCUCACUCUGUCCCCAGGCUGGAGUACAGUGGCGCGAUCUCGGCUCACUGUAACCUCCGCCUCCUGGAUUCAAGCGAUUCUCCUGCCUCAGCCUCCUGAGCAGCUGGGACUACAGGCGUGCGCCACCACGCCCGGCUAAUUUUUGAGUUUUUAGUAGAGACAGGGUUUCACCACGUUGGCCAGGAUGGUCUCAAUCUCUUGGCCUCGUGAUCUGCCCGCCUCGGCCUCCCAAAGUGCUGGGAGUCUGCUAGGACUGAAUCUGAAAGACUGGAGAAAGUAAGACGUGUGGGAAUGGGGAAGGAGAUUCCAGGUCGGGGGUGGCGUCUACUGCAGGCCUGGGUGUUGAGGAAGCACAGAGUUUGGGCAACUACAGGCGGUUGCCUGGUGUGGAGCAGCUUGUGCUGGAGGCAGGGGUUGGUGAUGACGAGGAAAUCGAAGCCCAGAGCGCAUCAUUCACUUGCUCAAAGUCACACAGCUUUGCCGUCAGAACUGGGGUGAUGCUGUGGGCGUGACAGCCUCUCCAGGCCAGCUCUGUUUCCCGCACACUAUCCUCUCUCCCCUCCCUGAGGCUGGCACAUCCCCGAAUCACCCGAUACCACCUUGCCCUGCCCCACCCAGGAGGCUCAGCUCGCGGACAGAGUGACUCAGGCAUUAAUCAGCUUUUCCCUGGGUUGAGAAAACCUGAGACAGAGAGCUACAGUCGCGCCUGCCACAUCUACCUCCCCAGCCAUCCUACUCUCUAUGCUGCUGCAAACUAGACAUUCCUUCCUGGAGGGACCUCUCGCUUCCCAUCUUCAGAUCAGGACGCACGGUCUCUUCUCCGCAGCUGCUUCCUCUGGUGUUCCUGUGCUCCUGUCGGCCCGCUGCUCCCACACACAUGCCCAUUCUUCUCGGGCUGGCUUGUAUCUCAGGGUUACGCUCCCCAGGUCCCUUGCUCCAGCCUCCUCUUAAACAUGACAAAGAAUCCAAGGACUUGUGCUGGGGCUGUCAGCUGCUAUUCUGGUGCCCUGGGGACGAAGAAGGGAUCUGGAGGGAAGACUGUCACCCUCUUGCGAAUGUUUCCAAGAAGCAGCUCAGCAUGGGAGAGAAAAGGGGAGAUCCCAGUUCCAGGAACACCUGGCCAGUGUUUCACCUGUUUAUCGGAGUUGACAGGACCAGCCAGCCCUUUCCCACCUCUCCCCAUCAUGAUGGAUGGGAGCCUGGCCUUUGAGGUCUCAAGCCAGAAACCUGAACGUCCUCUGCAUCAGAAUUGC
rnacentral:lncRNA from 10 species